rnacentral:rRNA from 1 species
AUUCCAGACUCCUACGGGAGGCAGCAGUGGGGAAUAUUGGGCAAUGGGCGCAAGCCUGACCCAGCAACGCCGCGUGAAGGAAGAAGGCUUUCGGGUUGUAAACUUCUUUUCUUGGGGACGAAGAAAGUGACGGUACCCAAGGAAUAAGCCACGGCUAACUACGUGCCAGCAGCCGCGGUAAUACGUAGGUGGUAAGCGUUAUCCGGAUUUACUGGGUGUAAAGGGCGUGUAGGCGGGGAAGCAAGUCAGCGGUAAAAAUUCGGGGCUCAACCCCGUCGUGCCGUUGAAACUGAUGUUCUUGAGUGGGCGAGAAGUAUGCGGAAUGCGUGGUGUAGCGGUGAAAUGCAUAGAUAUCACGCAGAACUCCGAUUGCGAAGGCAGCAUACCGGCGCCCAACUGACGCUGAAGCACGAAAGCGUGGGUAUCGAACAGGAUUAGAUACCCUGGUAAC